rnacentral:tRNA from 1 species
AGUUUUUUAGUCAAAUAUGAUUUUAAAUUGCAAAUUUAAAGGUGAAUUUUUAAUUCUUAAACUU